ACAGGUUAAUAUUCCUGUACUUGGUGUUACUGCGAAGGGGGGACGGAGAAGGCUAUGUUAGCCGGGCGACGGUUGUCCCGGUUUAAGCAUGUAGGCUGGUUAUCCAGGCAAAUCCGGAUAAUCAAGGCUGAGGUGUGAUGACGAAGCACUACGGUGCUGAAGUAACAAAUGCCCUGCUUCCAGGAAAAGCCUCUAAGCAUCAGGUAACAUCAAAUCGUACCCCAAACCGACACAGGUGGUCAGGUAGAGAAUACCAAGGCGCUUGAGAGAACUCGGGUGAAGGAACUAGGCAAAAUGGUGCCGUAACUUCGGGAGAAGGCACGCUGGUGUGUAGGUGAAG
rnacentral:rRNA from 1 species